rnacentral:lncRNA from 10 species
AAGCAAUGUAAAAGACGUAGAACCAAACUACUGAGGGUGGCACAUUCAGUCCUGGGAGAGGGACAGAGAAAACAGGUGGGGCAUUCACGGUGGUCCCUGGAGCUUCAGCCACUCCAGAGGGUUCUGGAAGGCUCCAUUGCCCACUCUCCUCUUUCCACACCCCCACCUCCACAACCUGUACUCCUCUCUGCCAGGAGCCUUGUCCUAGGCUUCAGGGUGGGAGAAGUCUCCGGUCCUGCCCCAUUCCCACGGCCUCACCCCACUGACCUCCUCACUACCUUUCCCCUCUCCAAAUCCGAAAAGGCUCUCCCAUUGCCAGGACACUGAAGAAUGGGAGACCCGCCAUACAGUCCUGUCCUCAAGGAGCCUGUGGCUCAGGGAGAGGAGAGAAGGUCAGAGCUGCGCAGAGCUGGCGGUGCUUCCCCAUGGGAUGCAAUGCUGGUAGCUUUAAACCAGCUACGGUAGAAGUAUUAACACCACAGAAGUCAAGAGAGGCCUUUUCUCUGCAGAGAGCUGAUUGUUAAACAUUGACCAGCACACGUCUGCUGACACACCU